UGACGACACCUUCACUCUGCUGGUUGUAAAGUCCGCGUCUGGCCUGGUGUCUGCUGGGUCCUAGCGCCGACCCGUUCCAAUCACCCAUGAACAGUAGAGGUCAACACCUAGAGGAAGUAUGGAGGUUUGAACUGGUUUGAUCCAACCUCCUGGUCCUGGUGAAGACGCUCAUGAUGAGGAGGAAAAACCAGUUUCAUACCAUGUGGAGCCGCCCCAGGGUUUGAAGUGGGACACCAGUCAAUCAUGAGUGUCGAUGCAGCAUGUGUUUGUUGCUGGGAAUCCCCAAGGCUUUGGCCAUGACGUCGGUGUCGAAGGACGGCUCCAGAGACAUCAAGGCUCCGUGGAUGCCUUUACCCUGAAGAUUGUCUGCAAACUCC